rnacentral:pre_miRNA from 1 species
AAUUUUCGGAAAACCUAAUUCAGUUUAUGUAAAAGUGCUAAAAUCAUUACUGGGUUAUGUUUUCUGAACAAU